rnacentral:lncRNA from 1 species
UGCCUGAACCCAAUUAGCUUGCCCAUUGGCCGCCACCCAAUUAUUCAAUGCCUUCUGGAGAAUCCUUCCACGAUUCUCCCUUCUCAAGUUUUUAAGGCUAGGGUAUCUCCAGUAGCACCAGCAUGUCAUUCUGUCCCACUUCUUGAGCUUACGCUCCUACUCCCAGGUUUAUCCUCUCACCACAAUCUCUCUCUAUUUUUAUUUUCUUUUUUUGAACUAAAUCUCUUUGACCUCUGAUUCUUCUCUUGCCACAGAAGUCAAAACCAACACUACAUCUCCUCCUUUCUUGCAAAUACCACAUUGAGCUCGGAGCUCGUGAGAAGGCAUUGAGCCUUCUCACCUUCUUGUCUGCUAUAUGUUGCUCUAUGGCUUCGAUCUCCAAUAGACGCCACUCUAUGGCUCCAAUAGCUAGGUCCUUUGGCCUGAGCUUCUUUGUCGAUGACCUAGUUGGCUGCUUCACCGUCUUCAUCCGCUCGACAAAGCUCUACAAUAAGAUCUUCGUCAACAUCUUCUCCAUGCCCAUUUAUUCCGCAAGAAGCCCUUCAAUGAGCAUAACAUCAUCUACAUGUUUGAUUAGCAGCACAAGGACCUCGGUCCCU